rnacentral:rRNA from 1 species
UAUGCAGGCGGAUUGUUAAGUAGGAAGUGAAAGGUUGGAGCUCAACUCUAACACUGCUCCCUAUACUGGCAGUCUUGAGUGGCGGAGAGGAAGAUGGAACGACACGUGUAGCGGUGAAAUGCGUUGAUAUGUGUCGGAACACCAAUGGCGAAAGCAAUCUUCUGGACGCAAACUGACGCUGAGAUACAAAGCCAAGGUAGCAAACA